rnacentral:sRNA from 1 species
CGGAGCGCCUGGUGGGGCUCCGCGAGGCGGGCGCCCGGUGGUGUCCGGCGUCUGCUCGUAUCCAUCUUGCUCUAUGGAGAAUUUGGCUAUGAGGA